rnacentral:rRNA from 1 species
GAUGAACGCUGGCGGCGUGCCUAAUACAUGCAAGUCGAGCGAACAGAUGAGGAGCUUGCUCCUCUGACGUUAGCGGCGGACGGGUGAGUAAUACGUGGAUAACCUACCUAUAAGACUGGGAUAACUUCGGGAAACCGGAGCUAAUACCGGAUAAUAUAUUGAACCGCAUGGUUCAAUAGUGAAAGACGGUUUUGCUGUCACUUAUAGAUGGAUCCGCGCCGCAUUAGCUAGUUGGUAAGGUAACGGCUUACCAAGGCAACGAUGCGUAGCCGACCUGAGAGGGUGAUCGGCCACACUGGAACUGAGACACGGUCCAGACUCCUACGGGAGGCAGCAGUAGGGAAUCUUCCGCAAUGGGCGAAAGCCUGACGGAGCAACGCCGCGUGAGUGAUGAAGGUCUUCGGAUCGUAAAACUCUGUUAUUAGGGAAGAACAAAUGUGUAAGUAACUAUGCACGUCUUGACGGUACCUAAUCAGAAAGCCACGGCUAACUACGUG